AGCUUCCAGAUAAUUUUACAAUGUAAUGAGUCAAAAGCACUAACUUCAUUUUGCCGCUGUCUUUUUCUGUGUAAAAAGAUGGAAUUUGUUUUUUUCUGGAGAGAGAGUUACCAUACGAUGGUUUGCUUACAUUUUAUUUUCAUGUGAACAUAAACAUCUCCCAACCUCAGAAUUUCACAUAGAUGUCAGACGAAGGAAGGCUCUGCUAUGAAAACUAAUGUUUGCCGUCAAAUAAACUACCAGAGCCAUUGGCCACUGUGAAUGAUGAUGGGUUUUCUGGGACUUACACCAUUUUAGUGCCCACUGAGGAUAAAUUUUGGGCACUUCCAGUACAUGGAUAAACUGGGGAUAUACAGUUGUCCUGAGCACUGAAUCGACUAUGGUGUUUUUCCAGGGAGUUUGUUCAAAAUGAGUCUUCAAGGCUUCAAACCAUUGGGCCCAGAUCUCAUAUGCUUAUGAGACCUCAUGUGUUUUAUAAGAAGAUAUAACCAAACUGCAUGUUGUCUUUUUUCCUCCCCUGCUUCCUUUUAAAUCUCUUUUGCGUUACUUCUUUUAGUUUGUUCCCUUGCUUUAAAAUUUAUAUGAACCAUCGUCUUAGAAUAUUAUUUUAAAUUUCAAAGGAGGCCUUGGAUUUGAAAACAGUUUUUUAAUUUCCCCCACAUUUGGUCUGGGUGGUGAUUGUACUAAAUCAGCCUUUUACGGAAACACUAUCAUUAAAAACUUCUCAUGGUCUCUAGGGACAGGAUUUGGAAGCACAACACAAGCCUUUCUGAUUAGGGCUCUGGGAACUCCCACUUUGUUUGCAAUGGUUUUGUUUUGUUUUUGAUUUAUAAUAACUUCCAGCGAAUGGUCCUGUUUUAGAGCUAUUUAAAGAAAUUCUAAACUAAAAUUGUAAAGGAACUGGAUGAAAAACAUUAACAAAAAACAUUAACACAAUAAAUAAAUUUGUGUCCCCACCCCCAGCAGUGCACAAUCCUUCAAACCUUCCUCCUUAUUUUUACCCUUUUCUUUGAUUUGACUUGCUGCCGCCCUUAGCCUCCCUCCUCACCCUCAGGGGGCCUGGCCAUUUCUCUGGGCUUUAGAGGCUUGUAGCUGCUUCCUUUCAUUCUUUCUCCUGUAAUCCUCCAAGCUCUCGGUUCUGUUUCACCCUCCCACUAACUUUUCUUGUUUUCCAUUGCCUGAUCUUCCUGCGGGCCGCUCCACCAUCUUUCUCUUCAUUUCCUUUACCCUGAAGCUCAGAGGCCUCUUUUCCUUGCCUUCCAGUUCAUUCUGCUACUAAUCAGAAGCCACCUCUUAAUCUUGGAGGCUUUCUUUUUGUUUUUCUUUUUUUUUCAGAAAUCAAUUCAAAUCUGGACUGAUGGUUUUGUGGAACUCUCAGAGCAGGAGUUUCCUGACCUAGCGAAGCAAACAACAGAGCAUAGCAUCCUAGGUUUCAGAAGGAAUUGUUCUGGCUUAAGGAGGAUAACUAAACAUGCCUCUCCCCACUACAAGCUAUGAAAAAUAGAUAGGGGAGGCAGAUGGGAGCUCAAAAUAUGAGCUAUUGAUAAAUAUUGAUACUUAUUGAUAAAGCUGGACUAGAGACCCUGGCUUGACCCGUGGUCAGAACCAAGCUUCCACCUUAAACUGUCCCAUCUGGUCACUGGCAGAGCAGCCAGGCAACCAAAUAUUGAGAACCCUCCCCAGGUACCUCACAGCAUGGAGGAGGGACAAAUGUGAGGCUGCUGAGAGCUCUCGUGUUUCAACCUUGGCGAUGCCCCUCUCAUACUGUUCCCUCCAGGAACAUUAUGCAAAUGCAAGUACACAGCUAAUGCUGAUGCUCAGCCCCUAAUUUUAGCCAUUAGAUCAAAUCAUGUGUAAGAAUUAAUUUAAAUUAACCUAUCCCUUUACCUAAGCCAUCAAUACAAUUUUAUAAAAUUCUGACUGAACACUCGGUAACUUUAUGAGCACCAAGGAUGCAAAAGUGAAUUGGGCACAGACAACUUAGGCCAACAUGGUACAGAUUCAGGAAAGUUAUACAUAAUUGUAUGCAAAAAUAUUGUCUAGGAGUCCCGUAUGAAAAAUCCUCACGGAGAAAGCGAUCUUUGUUUGGUAAGUGCUUUUAUAAAUUCAUUUAGGCAGAAUAGACGGGUUUUGUAAAGCUUGAAACAUAUAGAAUUUGGAGGGCCCUUUCUGAUAGAAUAUAAAAUUAUGAAUUUAAAAUCAGGUUCAAAAGUUAAUGUCUAGGAUGAGAAUAGAAAUCACAAAAGAAUUCCUAAGGCCUUGGAGAUACAGGUCCCUUGCUUCUGAGAUCUUUUGAGGCAUUUUCUCAGAAAUGCUCCACAUUUGCCCCUUGGUUUCUUGCUCCACCUGGAACACUCUACAGCUCCCAGUGACUCCCAGAACUCAGAAGGAGUGUGCAAGUGGUGCCUGAAACUUAAGUGUCAAUGGCUUCAGGGUCAAUCUGCUAUAGGGUAAAUUUCCAGAGUUUGAGUGUGAUUGGACCAUAUCUUUGAAUAGUGGGGGGAUAACUUUGCAAAAAUGAGAGGGGCAUGGAAGAACUCUAUACCAUACAGUGUACCAUGAUGGCCUCCCAUACCCCCACCAAUCUUCAGGAAAAACUACCAACAUCACUUUAGGCCCCUUGUGUUUGUGUUUGUGUUUCUUAUGAAAAUGGGUGAAAAAUUACUUCGGCGUCUUGGUUGGUGUGGGAUCAAAACGGAGCCGAGAAGUGAAUAAACAUGUAAAUUAUCUACGUUGCAGUAUCUUCGAUGCCAUGAUAGAUUUUUAUUGGAACUAUGCUUAUAAUAUAUAACAGUAUAUACACCAAACCCUUACAAAAUAUAACACACACUCAUAUAUUGUAAGGAUAUUUACAUUUGCAUCUGGUACUAGAUUAAUUUAUGCCAUAUCUCAAACUGAAAAUAUCUAAAAUCAUUAAUUUUUUUCCUGAAGGUUUCUCAUGUAUUUCAGACCUCAGUUAAUGUCACUUACAUCCAUGCCAUCCCUCCAAACCAGAAUCCAAAGUCACCAAGUCUUGUCUGUUGCACUAACGAUGUAAGAUUUGUUCCCCUCUUCCCUGUCUUGACCAGUGGGUGCCCUUUUAAAGAGCCCUGCUGUCUCCUAAGAUGAUGAAGGCUGCCAUGGUAGACAGAAUAGUGCCCCGCCCCCACCAAAGAUGUCUACAUCCUAGUCCCUGGAACCUGUGAGUAUGUUACCUUACGUGGCAAAAGAGACUUUGCAGAUGUGUUUAAGGGGACAGACCUUGAGAUGGGGAGACUAUCUUGAUUUUCUGAGUCCAAUGUAAUCACAAGGGUCCUUAUAAGAGGGAGACAGCAGGCUCAGACUAAAAAGAGAAGGAAAAGUGACUCUGGAAACAGAGGGAGAGGGAGGGGGUGAGGGAGGAGAGAAAGGGAGAUUUUUGAAGAUGCUAGAUUGCUGGCUUUGAAAAUGGAGAAAGAGGCCACUCCUGCGAGCAAUGUAGAUAGCUUCCAAAAACUGAAAAAGGCGACAAAACAGAUUUUCCCCUGGAGCUGUCAGAAGCGACACAGCCCCAACACCACCUCGACUUUAGCCCAGGACUUGAGGCCUCCAGAGCUGUAAGAAUAAUGAGUUUGUAUUGUUUUAAGCCACUGUGUUUGUGGUCAUUUUGUACGGCAGUAAUGAGGAGCUAUUACAGUGUCGAUAAUUCAUUCUUUGCCACUGUGGUUGAAAUGGUCCCUUCAUCAGUCUAGAGUAUUAAAAAAGCUAACACAGUUAAAAAAAAAUUAACUGAAAGUUAAAGCCUUCACUUUCUUUCCUUUCAGGCUUUCUUCUUUUCUUUGUGUUGAUGCCGAAUUCUAGGAACCAACCUAGAACGAAGAGCAGAGAUUUCGUGAGACCGGUGUGCUGUGGUCCCAAGGCAGG
rnacentral:lncRNA from 1 species